rnacentral:rRNA from 1 species
UACAGAGGUCCCGAGCGUUUGUUCGGAUUCACUGGGCGUAAAGGGUGCGUAGGUGGCGGGGUAAGUCUGAUGUGAAAUCUCCAAGCUUAACUUGGAAAUGGCAUUGGAAACUACUCUGCUCGAGGGUUGGAGGGGGGACUGGAAUACUUGGUGUAGCAGUGAAAUGCGUAGAUAUCAAGUGGAACACCAGUGGCGAAGGCGAGUCCCUGGACAACUCCUGACACUGAGGCACGAAAGCUAGGGGAGCAAACAGG